rnacentral:rRNA from 1 species
UACAGAGGUCUCAAGCGUUGUUCGGAUUCAUUGGGCGUAAAGGGUGCGUAGGCGGCUUGUUAAGUCAGGGGUGAAAGUUUUCGGCCCAACCGGAAAAUUGCCUUUGAUACUGGCGAGCUUGAGUGCGUGAGGGAUGGGGGGAACGAGCAGUGUAGCGGUGAAAUGCGUAGAUAUUGCUCGGAAGGCCAGAGCCGAAGGGGCCCCAUUGGUACGUAACUGACGCUGAGGCACGAAAGCGUGGGGAGCAAACAGG